UGGGGAAUAUUGCACAAUGGAGGGAACUCUGAUGCAGCGACGCCGCGUGAGUGAUGAAGGAAUUCGUUUCGUAAAACUCUGUUCUAUGGGAAGAAAAGGACUGUACCAUAGGAGAAAGCUCCGGCUAAAUACGUGCCAGCAGCCGCGGUAAUACGUAUGGAGCGAGCGUUGUCCGGAAUUAUUGGGCGUAAAGGGUGCGCAGGCGGCUUUACAAGUUGGAUGUGAAAUAUUGUGGCUCAACCACAAACGUGCAUCCAAAACUGCAAAGCUUGAGUUAAGGAGAGGUAAGUGGAAUUCCUGGUGUAGCGGAGGAAUGCGUAGAUAUCAGGAGGAAUACCGGUGGCGAAGGCGACUUACUGGACUUAAACUGACGCUCAGGCACGAAAGCGUGGGGAGCAAACAGG
rnacentral:rRNA from 1 species